GACCUUUUGUAGUUCAUAAGCAUAAUGACUGUGUGAGAUGUGCCAACCUCAAACCUUGUUACAUCAGCAGGUCACCUGUCUGAAA
ensembl:snoRNA